GGCUGCGGAGAGGUCCUGCAGCCGGACGUUUCGGGUCGCGCCUGCCUAGGAAGAGAAAAGCGUUCCGGGUGGCGCCCACACACACCGCAGUUCCUGGAGGGGCGGGGAGCGGGCGUCGGUCACCCUCGUCCCGUGCUCGCCAAGUCCGCUGCCUGAGCCCUGCAAUGUGUGCUGUGCUCCGCAAACCCAAGAGCGUCAAGUUGCGAGCCCUCCACAGCGAGUGCAAGUUCGGCGUGGCGGCACGGAGCUGCCAGGAGCUGCUGCACAAGGGCUGCGUCCGCUUCCAGCUCCCGGUGUCCGGCUCCCGGCUGUGCUUGUACGAAGAUGGCACGGAGGUGACCGACGACUACUUCCCGGGUCUCCCCAACGACGCCGAACUCCUGCUGCUCGCUGCUGGCCAGACCUGGCAGGGCUAUGUGAGUGACAUCAGUCGCUUCCUCAGUGUGUUUAAUGAGCCACAUGCCGGGGUCAUCCGGGCUGCAAGGCAACUGCUGUCAGAUGAGCAGGCCCCACGGAGGCAGAAGCUGCUGGCUGACCUUCUGCAUCAUGUCAGCCAGAACAUUACUGCUGAGACCCGGGAACAGGAUCCAUCCUGGUUUGAAGGUUUGGAGUCUCGAUUCAGGAACAAGUCUGGUUACCUGAGAUAUAACUGCGAGAGCCGUAUCCGGGGCUACCUGAGAGAGGUGAGUGCUUACACCUCUGUGGUGGAUGCAGCGGCCCGAGGAGAAUUCGAGCGGGUCCUUAGUUCCAUGAGCCAGAAGCUCAAAUCUGUGAAGUACAACGGCAGCUACUUUGACAGGGGUGCAGAAGCCAGCAGCCGUCUCUGCACUCCAGAAGGCUGGUUUUCCUGCCAGGUGAGAUUUGUCGACAGGGGUGCAGAGGCCAGCAGCCGUCUCUGCACUCCAGAAGGCUGGUUUUCCUGCCAGGUGAGAUUUGUCGACAGGGGUGCAGAGGCCAGCAGCCGUCUCUGCACUCCAGAAGGCUGGUUUUCCUGCCAGGUGAGAUUUGUCGACAGGGGUGCAGAGGCCAGCAGCCGUCUCUGCACUCCAGAAGGCUGGUUUUCCUGCCAGGUGAGAUUUGCGCCCUUUGUUCUGGGGUCACUAAGUACUGCUGAGCAUAGCCCUCCUUGGGUGAGAGGCAGGAAGGACAUUCGGCAGCUGGCCUAAGAGUAGAUGCUGGUGACCCUCACAUUCAGAGUGCGGGAGGAGGUAGGGAUGGAGGUGUGCAGUUUUUGGUGUGUUAGUCUGUGGUAACAUCAGAGCACAAAAGCAUGCUGGGAGUAACAGGUCUGCUCCUGUGUGGACCUGUAGAGCCAUCUAGCAGAGGAUGGUUCUCUAGCAACAGGGACAGAAAUGCCUUCACCUUUUGGAAACUCAGAUUACAAGUUCAGAGGCAAUGGAAUGUUGGAGGCAGGUAGAAUUCCAAAGACAGAAUUUUUAAAAAAUUAGGUUUAUUUUUUAUGUAUAUGGGUGUUUUGCCCAUGUAUGUGUCUGUGCACAUGUGUGCCUGGUUCCCUGUGGAGGCCAGAAGAGGGUGUCAAAUCCCCUAGAAUUGAAGUUACAGAUGUGGUUACAGUGUGGUUCUGGGAAUGAAACUUUGGUCCUCUAGAAGAACAGCCCAUGCUCUUAAUCUCUGAACCACCUCUCCAGCCCACAAAGAGAAUUUUUAAUCGCUGAUGAACAGCAAACACUUUUGUGUUUUUAAAAUGAGGUCUUAAUAUGUAGUUGAGGCUAGACUUAAGAUCACUAUAAGCCCAGACUGACUUAAUAUUUGUUUUAUUUUUGUGUAUAUGUAUGUAAUGUUUGUGUGUGAGUGUAUACAUUCCACGGCAUGGGUGUGGUCAGAGGACAAACCACACCUGGCUUUUAUAUGGACUCCACCAUCUGAACAUGGUUCUCAGGCUUGUGUGGCAAGUGCUUUUCCCAUUGAGCCAUCUCCCUGGCCUUAAACUCUAAAUCCUCCUGCCUUUGCCUCUUAGUCCUGGGGAUACAGGUGUUGCCACUGCCUGGUUCAAACUUCUGUUCAUGGAUAAAAUGCCUGUGGGGCCUGCUCCUUAAUAAGCUUGUUGGUUUGGAGAACAGUACUGUACCUCACCCCUACCUUUCCAACCCUGCCUUGGUCACUGCAGGGCCCCUUUGACAUGGAUAGCUGUCUUUCCAAGCACUCCAUCAACCCCUAUGGCAACAGGGAGAGCCGGAUCCUCUUCAGCACCUGGAACCUGGAUCAUAUAAUAGAGAAGAGGCGCACCGUGGUGCCCACGCUGGCUGAAGCAAUCCAGG